GAUGAACGCUGGCGGCGUGCCUAAUACAUGCAAGUCGAGCGAACAGACGAGGAGCUUGCUCCUCUGACGUUAGCGGCGGACGGGUGAGUAACACGUGGAUAACCUACCUAUAAGACUGGGAUAACUUCGGGAAACCGGAGCUAAUACCGGAUAAUAUAUUGAACCGCAUGGUUCAAUAGUGAAAGACGGUUUUGCUGUCACGUAUAGAUGGAUCCGCGCCGCAUUAGCUAGUUGUUAAGGUAACGGCUUACCAAGGCAACGAUGCGUAGCCGACCUGAGAGGGGGAUCGGCCACACUGGAACUGAGACACGGUCCAGACUCCUACGGGAGGCAGCAGUAGGGAAUCUUCCGCAAUGGGCGAAAGCCUGACGGAGCAACGCCGCGUGAGUGAUGAAGGUCUUCGGAUCGUAAAACUCUGUUAUUAGGGAAGUACAAAUGUGUAAGUAACUAUGCACGUCUUGACGGUACCUAAUCAGAAAGCCACGGCUAACUACGUG
rnacentral:rRNA from 1 species